AAAUAUGUCAUUUCCUUUCUCCCUCUAAUCAUUAGUUUUUUCCCAAAUUUUAGUUUGUUAUUUUUUGUUAUUUUCAUAUUGUGUUGUGUUUUUUUGUUGGUGGUCAUCAAUUUCUAGGUUCUCAAUAUAAUCAAAGGUACAACUCUCUCACACAAUUUUUCUUUAUUACAUCUGUUUCAUUACUUAUAUAAUUUUGAUAAAAGUUAAAUUGUUUGGUUUGUUACUUUUUUAGUUAUGUUUUAAACAAAGCUCCCUUUCCAUUUGCAUAAAAGAUAGGCAAAAUGGGACUAAUGAGCAGUAAACCAUGAUUAAAAAAAAAAAAUAGUAUUACUCAAACUUUUUGCUUUUAUUUGCUUUUUUCACUAGAUUAUUUUUCUUAAUAUUUCUUUUUUUCUUAUGGAGCUUAGUAAAGGGUGUUGUAGUAGUCUUUGUAGCUUUUUUGUUAGUGGUUUUGGUGAAUGUUAAAGUAGUGGAAUGAAAUUGAAUGGAUUAGUAUGACCUAUGCACUGUACACUAGAUUUCUUUUCCCCCCAUAAGAAAGUGUUGGCUUGGCCAUUACAUAUUUUGGGGAUUGUUGAGAGUGUGUGUUGAAAAUUUAAACCAAAAAGAAAAUGUGCAUAAUGAGGAUUGAAAAAAUUGAAAAAAGAAAGAAAAAGGAAGAUAAACAUAGAUAAAUCUAUUUAUUUAUUUUUUUUUUUGUGAACACACAGACUAAUCUUAGGUAACAAAAUGCCUUUCGUAAGACAAUAUACGCUGGUAAAUUUUGAGUUACUUUGGAAAUAACUUUGUACUUAGUUUUGGAAUCCCCUAUUGUCAAAAUAAAAAUUGAUGUCUAAUUGUCUUUUAAAUUGGUUUUUCAGGAUUUAUAAAUUUACAUUUUAUUUAAGAGAAAACUAAAGUUGUAGGUUCUUUUUUCCUCUCUAUUUCUGUCUUAUCUUUUUAACCUCUUGGAAUAUGAGGACAACAAAAUCGUGGUGUAGAGUUUUUGUUGUCCCAUUGUUCUUCUUGCCUGGUUUAGUUAGUAAAGGAAAACAAGUGUUUUCAUUUUUUGUCAAGUAGAUAAUAAAUGUAGUAAAACUAGAUAAGGAAAUAUGUGAAGAAAGCGAGUUGGACUGUGUGUGAUGGCAAGUGGUGUUUGAUAAAUGAUAGAUGCUUUUGAGUAGUUAGAAAGUUUAUUCCAUACUAUGUGAUGUUGAUUUGAAAAUACUGAACAUUAGACAUUUUUACUUUAAUCCAUCAAAUUUAACUUUAUUAUUAUUUUUCAAAUUUAAUUUUUAUUUUUUUUUUAAUUUCAGGUAUCGAUAUUAGAAUGGCUAUUGAACGACUUUCAAAUCCUUUUAACUUUGGCCAAUUUUUAGGGCAACAAUUUCAUUUUUAAAAUUGUCUUAGUUAAUAUAUUUGAUGGCUUCUUACGAAAAGUGCAAAAUAAAGGAGAAAUAAUCUUGGGAUUAAUCUUCUCCUGUCCAAUUUUAUUACGGGUAUACACUGUCAUCCCAACUUUAAUCUUGGGAUUAAUCUUGGGACAAAAUGUUUGGAGAUAUUGGGAUUAAUCUUGGGAUUAAUCCCAAUAUCAAUUUUAUAGCAAUUGUUAUCCCAACAUUAAUCUCAAAAUGUUGUCAUUGGGGUUUACCAUCGCAACAUCCCAACAUAGAUGGACAUGAGUGAUGACCCAUCACUACUGAUUGUCCUAUAUAUAAUGCAAAGGACUCCCAGAUUGGGGACACACUAAUAGACCUUUUUGAGACUCCUUUAGCUUUGCCAUUCUAUGUCAAUAACUCAAUUUUUUUUAAUGUUUUUUAAUUUCCCAACAGUGGCUUCAAGACGCAUCGUUCAACACCAAAAUAGAGGACACAGUGCUUCCCUUUUGCAAUAGUCAGCCUUCUAUUUGACAUGUAAUUUUAUAGAGAUAUGUCCAAUUUUGGAGUUAAUAAUAAUGUAUUUUGGAGUUGAGCCCAUCUCAAACUCAAUUAAACAAUGGACGUUUUAUUUCUAGGCUUUUAAGUCUGUAGAAAAUUUGUCAAAAACUUACUAAAUAGGUUUUUGUUUUCAAGCUUCUUUUUUUCUCCUUCCUUGAAAGUUCAAACAUUGAGUUUGCAUUUGCUUU